rnacentral:lncRNA from 1 species
UGUGGCGACACAUGCAAUGCAGGAUGACCUGGUGGCAUAGGACAGAAGAGGAGCUGGAGUUCAAAGGAAGCCUCAGAUGAAAAGUAAUGGAUCCUACAUAUAGCAGACACCAAGUACAGUGAUUCCGAGGUUCCCGAGAAGCAGCGCAAACCAGUCCUUAUUCUAAGGGUUAGAGGAGAGUCGUGUAAAGUC